GGGGUUGUGGCUCAGUGGUAGAGUGUUCGCCUAGCACGCGCAAGGCCCUGAGUUCCAUCCUCAGCACCACA
rnacentral:tRNA from 1 species